AGAGUUUGAUCCUGGCUCAGGACGAACGCUGGCGGCGUGCCUAAUACAUGCAAGUCGAACGCUUCUUUUUCCACCGGAGCUUGCUCCACCGGAAAAAGAGGAGUGGCGAACGGGUGAGUAACACGUGGGUAACCUGCCCAUCAGAAGGGGAUAACACUUGGAAACAGGUGCUAAUACCGUAUAACAAUCAAAACCGCAUGGUUUUGAUUUGAAAGGCGCUUUCGGGUGUCGCUGAUGGAUGGACCCGCGGUGCAUUAGCUAGUUGGUGAGGUAACGGCUCACCAAGGCCACGAUGCAUAGCCGACCUGAGAGGGUGAUCGGCCACAUUGGGACUGAGACACGGCCCAAACUCCUACGGGAGGCAGCAGUAGGGAAUCUUCCACAAUGGACGCAAGUCUGAUGGAGCAACGCCGCGUGAGUGAAGAAGGCUUUCGGGUCGUAAAACUCUGUUGUUGGAGAAGAAUGGUCGGCAGAGUAACUGUUGUCGGCGUGACGGUAUCCAACCAGAAAGCCACGGCUAACUACGUGCCAGCAGCCGCGGUAAUACGUAGGUGGCAAGCGUUGUCCGGAUUUAUUGGGCGUAAAGCGAGCGCAGGCGGUUUCUUAAGUCUGAUGUGAAAGCCCCCGGCUCAACCGGGGAGGGUCAUUGGAAACUGGGAGACUUGAGUGCAGAAGAGGAGAGUGGAAUUCCAUGUGUAGCGGUGAAAUGCGUAGAUAUAUGGAGGAACACCAGUGGCGAAGGCGGCUCUCUGGUCUGUAACUGACGCUGAGGCUCGAAAGCGUGGGGAGCAAACAGGAUUAGAUACCCUGGUAGUCCACGCCGUAAACGAUGAGUGCUAGGUGUUAGACCCUUUCCGGGGUUUAGUGCCGCAGCUAACGCAUUAAGCACUCCGCCUGGGGAGUACGACCGCAAGGUUGAAACUCAAAGGAAUUGACGGGGGCCC
rnacentral:rRNA from 1 species